CCUUCUUCAGAGCAGCGGGGACCAACUGCCUCCGACCAGGUGAGAUGGUUCCGUCCCUCUGCUGCCUCUGACCAGGUGAGAUGGUUCCGUCCCUCUGCUGCCUCCGACCAGGUGAGAUGGUUCCGUCCCUCUCCUGCCCCUGACCAGGUGAGAUGGUUCCGUCUGUCUCCUGCCCCUGACCAGGUGAGAUGGUUCCGUCUGUCUCCUGCCCCUGACCAGGUGAGAUGGUUCCGUCUGUCUCCUGCCCCUGACCAGGUGAGAUGGUUCCGUCCGUCUCCUGCCCACUGACCAGCUCCCACAGCUGU
ensembl:lncRNA